UACGUAGGGUGCAAGCGUUGUCCGGAAUUAUUGGGCGUAAAGAGCUCGUAGGCGGUUUGUCGCGUCUGCUGUGAAAACUCGGGGCUUAACUCCGGGCCUGCAGUGGAUACGGGCAGGCUAGAAUUCGGUAGGGGAGACUGGAAUUCCUGGUGUAGCGGUGAAAUGCGCAGAUAUCAGGAGGAACACCGGUGGCGAAGGCGGGUCUCUGGGCCGAUAUUGACGCUGAGGAGCGAAAGCGUGGGGAGCGAACAGG
rnacentral:rRNA from 1 species